rnacentral:rRNA from 1 species
UGCUGUGAAAUCCGGAGGCUCAACCUCCGGCCUGCAGUGGGUACGGGCAGACUAGAGUGCGGUAGGGGAGAUUGGAAUUCCUGGUGUAGCGGUGGAAUGCGCAGAUAUCAGGAGGAACACCGAUGGCGAAGGCAGAUCUCUGGGCCGUAACUGACGCUGAGGAGCGAAAGGGUGGGGAGCAAACAGGCUUAGAUACCCUGGUAGUCCACCCCGUAAACGUUGGGAACUAGUUGUGGGGUCCAUUCCACGGAUUCCGUGACGCAGCUAACGCAUUAAGUUCCCCGCCUGGGGAGUACGGCCGCAAGGCUAAAACUCAAAGGAAUUGACGGGGACCCGCACAAGCGGCGGAGCAUGCGGAUUAAUUCGAUGCAACGCGAAGAACCUUACCAAGGCUUGACAUAUACGAGAACGGGCCAGAAAUGGUCAACUCUUUGGACACUCGUAAACAGGUGGUGCAUGGUUGUCGUCAGCUCGUGUCGUGAGAUGUUGGGUUAAGUCCCGCAACGAGCGCAACCCUCGUUCUAUGUUGCCAGCACGUAAUGGUGGGAACUCAUGGGAUACUGCCGGGGUCAACUCGGAGGAAGGUGGGGAUGACGUCAAAUCAUCAUGCCCCUUAUGUCUUGGGCUUCACGCAUGCUACAAUGGCCGGUACAAAGGGCUGCAAUACCGCGAGGUGGAGCGAAUCCCAAAAAGCCGGUCCCAGUUCGGAUUGAGGUCUGCAACUCGACCUCAUGAAGUCGGAGUCGCUAGUAAUCGCAGAUCAGCAACGCUGCGGUGAAUACGUUCCCGGGUCUUGUACACACCGCCCGUCAAGUCAUGAAAGUCGGUAACACCUGAAGCCGGUGGCCUAACCCUU